CCCUUAGAUGUUCUGGGCCGCACGCGCGCUACACUGACACGUUCAUCAAGUCUAUAACCUUGACCGAGAGGUCUGGGUAAUCUUUUAAAAACGUGUCGUGCUGUGGAUAGAUUAUUGCAAUUAUUAAUCUUCAACGAGGAAUUCCUAGUAAACGCAAGUCAUCAACUUGCAUUGAUUACGUCCCUGCCCUUUGUACACACCGCCCGUCGCUACUACCGAUUGAAUGAUUUAGUGAGUACCAGGGACCGAGCGCUUUGGUUGGGUUUCCUUCCCUAGCGCUUGGGAACUGUCGCAAACUUGACCAUUUAGAGGAAGUAAAAGUCGUAACA
rnacentral:rRNA from 1 species